rnacentral:rRNA from 1 species
GGCGAACGGGUGAGUAACACGUGGGUAACCUGCCCAUCAGAAGGGGAUAACACUUGGAAACAGGUGCUAAUACCGUAUAACACUAUUUUCCGCAUGGAAGAAAGUUGAAAGGCGCUUUUGCGUCACUGAUGGAUGGACCCGCGGUGCAUUAGCUAGUUGGUGAGGUAACGGCUCACCAAGGCAACGAUGCAUAGCCGACCUGAGAGGGUGAUCGGCCACACUGGGACUGAGACACGGCCCAGACUCCUACGGGAGGCAGCAGUAGGGAAUCUUCGGCAAUGGACGAAAGUCUGACCGAGCAACGCCGCGUGAGUGAAGAAGGUUUUCGGAUCGUAAAACUCUGUUGUUAGAGAAGAACAAGGAUGAGAGUAAAAUGUUCAUCCCUUGACGGUAUCUAACCAGAAAGCCACGGCUAACUACGUGCCAGCAGCCGCGGUAAUACGUAGGUGGCAAGCGUUGUCCGGAU